GAUCCUGGCUCAGGAUGAACGCUAGCGACAGGCUUAACACAUGCAAGUCGAGGGGCAGCGGGGUGUAGCAAUACACCGCCGGCGACCGGCGCACGGGUGAGUAACGCGUAUGCAACUUGCCUAUCAGAGGGGGAUAACCCGGCGAAAGUCGGGCUAAUACCGCAUGAAGCAGGGAUCCCGCAUGGGAAUAUUUGCUAAAGAUUCAUCGCUGAUAGAUAGGCAUGCGCU
rnacentral:rRNA from 1 species